AUUGAACGCUGGCGGCAUGCUUUACACAUGCAAGUCGAACGGGGAUAAUUAGCUUGCUAGUUAUCUUAGUGGCGAACGGGUGAGUAAUGUAUCGGAACGUGCCUUGUAGUGUGGAAUAACUAAGCGAAAGUUUAGCUAAUACCGCAUAAUACCUGAGGGUUAAAGUGGGGGAUCGCAAGACCUCAUGCUACGAGAGCGGCCGAUAUCUGAUUAGCUAGUUGGUAGGGUAAGAGCCUACCAAGGCGACGAUCAGUAGCUGGUCUGAGAGGACGACCAGCCACACUGGGACUUAGACACGGCCCAGACUCCUACGGGAGGCAGCAGUGGGGAAUUUUGGACAAUGGGCGAAAGCCUGAUCCAGCAAUGCCGCGUGUGCGAAGAAGGCCUUCGGGUUGUAAAGCACUUUUGUCAGAGAAAAAAAGACUUAUGCUAAUAUCAUGAGUUUAUGAUGGUAUCUGAAGAAUAAGCACCGGCUAACUACGUGCCAGCCGCCGCAGUAAAAC
rnacentral:rRNA from 1 species